rnacentral:rRNA from 1 species
UACAGAGGGUGCGAGCGUUAACCGGAAUUACUGGGCGUAAAGCGCGCGUAGGCGGCUUUGCAAGUCGGGUGUGAAAUCCCCAGGCUUAACCUGGGAACUGCAUUCGAGACUGCAUUGCUAGAGUAUGGGAGAGGGAAGUGGAAUUUCCGGUGUAGCGGUGAAAUGCGUAGAUAUCAAGAGGAACACCUGCGGCGAAGGCGGGUGCUGGGCCGACACUGACGCUGAGGCGCGAAAGCUAGGGGAGCGAACGGG